rnacentral:rRNA from 1 species
AGAGUUUGAUCCUGGCUCAGGAUGAACGCUAGCGACAGGCUUAACACAUGCAAGUCGAGGGGCAGCAUAGAAGUAGCAAUACUUUGGUGGCGACCGGCGCACGGGUGAGUAACGCGUAUGCAACCUACCUAUCAGAGGGGAAUAACCCGGCGAAAGUCGGACUAAUACCGCAUAAAACAGGGGCACCGCAUGGUGAUAUUUGUUAAAGAAAUUCGCUGAUAGAUGGGCAUGCGUUCCAUUAGGUAGUUGGUGAGGUAACGGCUCACCAAGCCGACGAUGGAUAGGGGAACUGAGAGGUUGGUCCCCCACACUGGUACUGAGACACGGACCAGACUCCUACGGGAGGCAGCAGUGAGGAAUAUUGGUCAAUGGGCGGGAGCCUGAACCAGCCAAGUCGCGUGAAGGAAGAAGGAUCUAUGGUUCGUAAACUUCUUUUGCAGGGGAAUAAAGUGCAGGACGUGUCCUGUUUUGUAUGUACCCUGAGAAUAAGGAUCGGCUAACUCCGUGCCAGCAGCCGCGGUAAUACGGAGGAUCCGAGCGUUAUCCGGAUUUAUUGGGUUUAAAGGGUGCGUAGGUGGUUUGAUAAGUCAGCGGUGAAAGUUUGCAGCUUAACUGUAAAAAUACCGUUGAAACUGUCGGACUUGAGUGUAAAUGAGGUAGGCGGAAUGCGUGGUGUAGCGGUGAAAUGCAUAGAUAUCACGCAGAACUCCGAUUGCGAAGGCAGCUUACUAAGCUACAACUGACACUGAAGCACGAAAGCGUGGGGAUCAAACAGGAUUAGAUACCCUGGUAGUCG